AAAAGCAGAAAUAUCAGAGGAGAAAACUCACAACUGACUCGACUUCUCUCCUCAGCAUGGAGACCACAGCAGAUCCAGGAAACCGGUUCACUCACCAGCCUCAGCUGUCAGAGUCCGGCUGUGGAUCAGGGUUUGUCGAUCUUAUAACUCACACUGGUGCGUGAUGCACAGCUGACCUCGCUGCAGCUGAUGUAGGACGUCACCGCCGCCUCUGUGAGCUCAUCCAGGCUGAAAACGUCCCGGCCAGUCCAGUCCAGGUGGUUCGACCAGUUUGUUGCGACAUGAGAGAGAAAUAUUCCCAGGAACAGUGUGGAAACUGCUCCGACACGUUUCACUGAGCAGCUGAUGAGGGGAAAAACAAUCUUGUGGCGUUGUUCCCCUGAUGUUCAUUUCAAACUUAUUAUUUAUUUAUUCCCAUCGUAAAUUGUUAUGUUCUCAUUUCUGCAACUUCGUUAAUUGUGCUGCUGCCUGGAGGACUGGAGGACAGUCGUGGUUAAAUAAAGGUAUAAUAGUAUGAAAACGG